AGGAAUCAGCAUUAGAACUCCUUUGAGAUUAAUGGAACCAGUCAUCUUCCCAGAGCUAUUGUUUCAGGCUCUCUGCCAAGUCAGGAGGAUAGGACUGCAUUAGUUGCUCUCUGUUCACAUUCUGAAGGCAAAGACAGCCUUUUUCUGACAGUGGGGAAGUAACAACAAGAAGGUAUGCAUUAGGCAUGGAGUUCUCUCACAUUUUCAAGAAACCUGAAGGAUGAUCAUGGAGCCAAAGAAAACCUAAUGGGGGAAAAAAAUAAUCACUGGUAUUAUCGGAACUCCAGCUGCCAGGAUCAAUUAAGGAGACUUACCUCGGGAAGCAGAGAAAGCUGCAGGAGGGAAGGAUCAGAUUUGUAAAAUGUGAAGGUUUUGAGGAACAAAUGCGAAGUCUGCAUACUAUAGCAGAGCUACUUGCCAACUUAUGUUUAGUCCUGAACAGAUACACAGGGGAUUCCAAGAAGCCUUCCCUUUCUCAAACCCCUGCACAGGAACCAAGCACAAUCUGACUGUGGAACGCAGAUACCAUGCUGUGUUAGUGCCACCAAAGCAGUGGCCUGCCUGAAGGAGGUGGCGAGAGUUAAGUUGUGGGGGUCCAUGCUCCCCUGGUCCUGAAUCUAUCAUCUGGCUGGGGGCAAAGUUAUGGUGAGGGAGCUCAGCUAUUUAAAGCAUGGUUGAGCUACUGCUGCAGCCUAUGCUCUCCUGGAGCCCCGGGGAGUAGGGUUGCCGCUUGCCAGGUGCAGGGGCGGCUCUACACAUUUCGCCGCCCCAAGCACAGCGGCAUGCCG